GUGGGGAAUAUUGGACAAUGGGGGGAACCCUGAUCCAGCCAUGCCGCGUGUGUGAAGAAGGCCUUUUGGUUGUAAAGCACUUUAAGCGAGGAGGAGGCUACCGAGAUUAAUACUCUUGGAUAGUGGACGUUACUCGCAGAAUAAGCACCGGCUAACUCUGUGCCAGCAGCCGCGGUAAUACAGAGGGUGCAAGCGUUAAUCGGAUUUACUGGGCGUAAAGCGCGCGUAGGUGGCCAAUUAAGUCAAAUGUGAAAUCGCCGAGCUUAACUUGGGAAUUGCAUUCGAUACUGGUUGGCUAGAGUAUGGGAGAGGAUGGUAGAAUUCCAGGUGUAGCGGUGAAAUGCGUAGAGAUCUGGAGGAAUACCGAUGGCGAAGGCAGCCAUCUGGCCUAAUACUGACACUGAGGUGCGAAAGCAUGGGGAGCAAACAGGAUUAGAAACCCUGGUAGUCC
rnacentral:rRNA from 1 species